UACGUAGGGACCAAGCGUUGUUCGGAUUUACUGGGCGUAAAGGGCGCGUAGGCGGCAAUUCAAGUCAGCUGUGAAAUCUCCGGGCUUAACUCGGAAAGGUCAACUGAUACUGUGCGACUAGAGUGCAGAAGGGGCAACUGGAAUUCUCGGUGUAGCGGUGAAAUGCGUAGAUAUCGAGAGGAACACCCGCGGCGAAGGCGGGUUGCUGGGCUGACACUGACGCUGAGGCGCGAAAGCCAGGGGAGCGAACGGG
rnacentral:rRNA from 1 species